rnacentral:rRNA from 1 species
UACGUAGGGGGCAAGCGUUGUCCGGAAUUAUUGGGCGUAAAGGGCUCGUAGGCGGUUCGUCACGUCGGGAGUGAAAACUCGGAGCUUAACUCCGAGCCUGCUUCCGAUACGGGCAGACUAGAGGUAGGCAGGGGAGAGCGGAACUCCUGGUGUAGCGGUGGAAUGCGCAGAUAUCAGGAGGAACACCUAUUGCGAAGGCAGCUCGCUGGGACGUAACUGACGCUGAGACGCGAAAGCGUGGGGAGCAAACAGG